UACGGGGGGGGCAAGCGUUGUUCGGAAUUACUGGGCGUAAAGGGCUCGUAGGCGGCCAACUAAGUCAUACGUGAAAUCCCUCGGCUUAACCGGGGAACUGCGUCUGAUACUGGAUGGCUUGAGUUCGGGAGAGGGAUGCGGAAUUCCAGGUGUAGCGGUGAAAUGCGUAGAUAUCUGGAGGAACGCCGGUGGCGAAGGCGGCAUCCUGGACCGAUACUGACGCUGAGGAGCGAAAGCCAGGGGAGCAAACGGG
rnacentral:rRNA from 1 species